rnacentral:rRNA from 1 species
AACGCGAAGAACCUUACCAGCUCUUAACAUCAUCUGACCACUCUAGAGAUAGAGCUUUCCCUUCGGGGACAGAUAGACAGGUGGUGCAUGGUUGUCGUCAGCUCGUGUCGUGAGAUGUUGGGUUAAGUCCCAUAACGAGCGCAACCCUUAUUGUUAGUUGCCAGCAUUCAGUUGGGCACUCUAGCGAGACUGCCGGUGGUAAACCGGAGGAAGGUGGGGAUGACGUCAAAUCAUCAUGCCCCUUAUGGGCUGGGCUACACACGUGCUACAAUGGACGGUACAACGGUUGCGAUCCCGCAAGGGUUAGCGAAUCUUUAUAAGCCGUUCUCAGUUCGGAUUGCUCCCUGCAACUCGAGAGCAUGAAGCCGGAAUCGCUAGUAAUCGCGA